rnacentral:rRNA from 1 species
UACGAAGGGGGCUAGCGUUGCUCGGAAUCACUGGGCGUAAAGGGUGCGUAGGCGGGUGUUUAAGUCAGGGGGGAAAUCCUGGAGCUCAACUCCAGAACUGCCUUUGAUACUGAGGAUCUUGAGUUCGGGAGAGGUGAGUGGAACUGCGAGUGUAGAGGUGAAAUUCGUAGAUAUUCGCAAGAACACCAGUGGCGAAGGCGGCUCACUGGCCCGAUACUGACGCUGAGGCACGAAAGCGUGGGGAGCAAACAGG